rnacentral:rRNA from 1 species
GCGGCGUGCUUAACACACGCAAGUCGAACGGAAAGGCCCUGCUUGCAGGGUACUCGAGUGGCGAACGGGUGAGUAACACGUGGGUGAUCUGCCCUGCACUUCGGGAUAAGCCUGGGAAACUGGGUCUAAUACCGGAUAGGAGCCAUUUUUAGUGUGAUGGUUGGAAAGUUUUUUCGGUGUAGGAUGAGCUCGCGGCCUAUCAGCUUGUUGGUGGGGUAAUGGCCUACCAAGGCGGCGACGGGUAGCCGGCCUGAGAGGGUGGACGGCCACAUUGGGACUGAGAUACGGCCCAGACUCCUACGGGAGGCAGCAGCGGGGAAUAUUGCACAAUGGGCGCAAGCCUGAUGCAGCGACGCCGCGUGGGGGAUGACGGCCUUCGGGUUGUAAACUCCUUUCGCUAGGGACGAAGCUUUUUGUGACGGUACCUAGAUAAGAAGCACCGGCUAACUACGUGCCAGCAGCCGCGGUAAUACGUAGGGUGCGAGCGUUGUCCGGAAUUACUGGGCGUAAAGGGCUCGUAGGUGGUUUGUCGCGUCGUCUGUGAAAUUCCGGGGCUUAACUCCGGGCGUGCAGGCGAUACGGGCAUAACUUGAGUACUGUAGGGGUAACUGGAAUUCCUGGUGUAGCGGUGAAAUGCGCAGAUAUCAGGAGGAACACCGAUGGCGAAGGCAGGUUACUGG